rnacentral:rRNA from 1 species
AACGAACGCUGGCGGCAGGCUUAACACAUGCAAGUCGAACGCCCCGCAAGGGGAGUGGCAGACGGGUGAGUAACGCGUGGGAAUCUACCGUACCCUACGGAACAACAGUUGGAAACGACUGCUAAUACCGUAUACGCCCUUAGGGGGAAAGAUUUAUCGGGGUAUGAUGAGCCCGCGUUGGAUUAGCUAGUUGGUGGGGUAAAGGCCUACCAAGGCGACGAUCCAUAGCUGGUCUGAGAGGAUGAUCGGCCACAUUGGGACUGAGACACGGCCCAAACUCCUACGGGAGGCAGCAGUGGGGAAUAUUGGACAAUGGGCGCAAGCCUGAUCCAGCCAUGCCGCGUGAGUGAUGAAGGUCUUAGGAUUGUAAAGCUCUUUCACCGAUGAAGAUAAUGACGGUAGUCGGAGAAGAAGCCCCGGCUAACUUCGUGCCAGCCGCCGCGGUAAGAC